AGUGGGACAGCUGGGUUAUAUGGUGGUUCCAUUCCUAGCCCUUUGAGGAAUCUCCAUACUGUUUUCCAGAGUUGUCAUACUAAUUUGCAGUCCCAUUAGCAAU
rnacentral:pre_miRNA from 1 species